ACGGGCAUAUUAAGUUGAAACACCAGUUCUCAUACGAUCACCGAAGUUAAGCAACAUUGAGCCUAAUCAGUACUUAAAUGGGUGACUACUUGAAAAUAUCAGGUGCUGUAAGC